GAGCCUUGAUCAGAGUAACUGUCUUGGCUACAUUUCUUCUUUUGCCCCGUCUAGAUUCCUCUCUUACAGCUCGAGCGGCCUUCUCAGUCGAACCGUUCACGUUGCGAGCUGCUGGCGGCCGCAACAUUUUGGCGCCCGAACAGGGACCUGAAGAAUGGCAGAGAGAUGCUAAGAGGAACGCUGCAUUGGAGCUCCACAGGAAAGGAUCUUCGUAUCGGACAUCGGAGCAACGGACAAGUACACAUGCUAGCGCUAGCUUAAAAUUUCAGUUUUGUAAAGUGUUGCUGAGGAUGCGGUAGGAUACGAAUUAAGCUUGAAUCAGUGCUAACCCAACGCUGGUUCUGCUUGGGUCAGCAGCGUGUUAAUCGGAACUAGAAACGGAAACAGGCAGGUUAGCCGCAGCUUUUUAGGAAGCUGCUUAGGUGGAAGAAGAAAGGGUUUAAAGUCAUGGAUCAGGCGGUAGGCCGUAGCUCUCCGAAGCUACAUGAGGUGUGAGAAAAGAAAGGGUUUAUUAAAAGGAAUAGGCGUAUUGCCCCAGUUAAUAAAAAAUGCAUCAUAAGGGAGGAAAAUGUCCCAAAAAGCAGAGAGAAAUAUCUCUCUGGGCCUUAUAGCAGGAGUACUCUGUUACCUUUUGUGUCUUGUCUAAUGUCCGGUGCACCAAUCUGUUCUCGUGUUCGAUUCAUGUAUGUUCGUGUCCAGUCUGUAUGAAUGAAUGUUCUAUGUUUUGUGUUGGAUAAUAAAGAUGGUAUAAAAAACUUUAUCUGCAAAGCCGAGAGCUGCCACGUGUUUCAGCCAGGAAUCAGACACGUGGCGAGAGGGCCCCUGCUGGAAAAACUGUUCGUUUUAGGAAAUAAGGGCGAGUGCACAGCCUCUAAGUUUCAGAGUAAAAAAGCUAAUAAAUGGUUCAUGAUUAAUGUGUUUGACAAUGGUAAAGUGUUUUUUAUUUUAUGAUUGUAGCUACAAAAAUUAUUAUUCUCUGAUUGGUCUAAAUGUAACUGCUUCAUUUGGUUCUUUUUUAUUGGUAAUGUGCUCUAAGUGUUUUCACAAUCAGCUCAUAAGUUGUUGGUUAAGAUUAAUAAUUGUUACAUUGCUACAGAUGGUUAGUGUUAAAUUUGAUAACUCAAGUUUAGAGUCCUUCCAACACAUGGCAUAAGGCAGCCCAAGAGGCUGGGUCUCUAAAGAUAUUUCUAGUUUAGGUAAUAAUUAAUAUGGUUCGUAUCCUAAAUAGUAAAAUUUAAAAUAAGAUUUAAAGCAAUGUCUCUUUAUUAAAGCAUUAAAGCUUGUUUUAAUAGGUAUUCAUAGGUAUUAAUUGACAUCCAAACUUCGUAAUAUGAUAGUAAUGCUUCUAAUAUUGAUUUUAAAGAUAAUAAAUUGUUUUAAACUUGGGUUUUACUUUCCCAAGGUUAUAGGUAUUAUCCUAACCUUGCACAAAAAACUUAAAAAUUAUGGUUAAAACUGCUAUUGUUCCAUUGACUGCAGCUUGCAGUUUGAUUUCAAAUUUAAGAUCUUUAAUUCACCUGUAUACUGUAAUUAAGAUAAUUACAAGAGUAAUCAUCUUAUGAGAGCGCUCAUACAGCUCACUUCAUACAAAACUGUGACAGAGUUAUCUAGUUAUGUUUGUCUUUGUGAAUAGAUUAGACAAACAGUUUGGUUAUAGUUGCUGCCUGGCAGGAAACUGUAGUACAGGCAAUUUUUUCACAACACUAAAGUUGUGAAGAACGUUUUAACUGUAAGUCAUCUUAAGAAAGAGUAUCAAAAUUUAGAGGCGUAGACAGUUAUAUUGUUUCUCUAAAAUCGGUCCUUAUUACAGGAGGGCCAGGAUGCUCAGAUUAAAAAGUAUUUUACGUUUGAGUCAAUGCAGGGCUCUGGGCAGCCCCAGAGCGGCUUGUGGCCUUUCUUUUGUUUUGCAAACAGUGCCUGAGAAAGAUUUUUCCCUGUGUUCAAGAGAAAUUCUUUUUAACAGUGUUGCAGAUCUAUUCAGAUGUUUAAAAUAAUGCUUAAAUUCAAAGAGUUUUGCUUCUAGUGAACUGUAAUCACUAGAAAAUUUUGCCUCUAGGUAUGGCUAAUGUAACUUUACAUUAUGUAAGAAAAAUUUUAUUGUUUCUGCUUCUAUACAAGAAGCCAAGAGUUUUAAUCUUUCAGUGUAUAUUGUUUCCUAAGUGAAAAGUAUUUUAUUAACUAAUGCUUCUUAAAGUUUACCUUAAAUCCUUGCUCUCACCCAAAAGAUUCAGAGACAAUAUCCUUUUAUUACUUAGGGUUUUAGUUUACUACAAAAGUUUCUACAAAAAAUAAAGCUUUUAUAAUUGUUAUUAAUUGGUAAUUAAAAAUUGGUUGUGCCCAAAACAAUUCUUUGGCCAAAAAGAAAACAUUAUUGUAAAGUCAUUUUUCUCAUCCUCCCAGCCAAUCGUUGGCCCAUGUGGGCCCAACUAGCUUCUGUGGGGCGGAGUCUUAAGACACAGUUUCCCCUGUUCCAGCACAGAUGAUCUAGUUGUGUGCUGUAGAUGGUGUUUUAAAAUGCUGAACAAUCAAACCUUAAUUUGUAUAUUAAUAGUCAAUGCCAUAUCUCUGAGCUCGCAAUUGCUUAAAUUGUUCAUCCCUCAGAUACUAUUAAUUCUCAAAUUUACAAUUGCUUAUGCAUAUUUCUAGUUAAUAAAUAAAUUAUGCACAUGUGACUCUUAAUAACUUUGCAAGCCUUCUAGUUACAACUGCUCCUUAAGAAAAUUGAUUAAAAGUGCAAUUAGUCACUGCCCCUUUACAGCCAAGUAUUUAAAAUGUUUUGUCAACUAGUUAUUAAUUCAAAAGUUUAGGUAUUGUAAAAUUUUAAAACUUUAACUUCUU
rnacentral:lncRNA from 1 species